rnacentral:lncRNA from 1 species
GAGAUGAUUAGCCUAACCCAAGCACAACCAAUCCAGGUGUGAGUCACGCCUCUCCUAGGCCUAUAUAAGCAGCACCAGUUCUGGGCUUGGGGUCUUUUCGCCUCUACAAUCAAGCUCUCCCAAUAAACGUGUGCAGAAGGAUCCUGUUGCAGCGUUGUUCUUCCUGGCCAGUCGAGCGCGCGCAAGACCCACCCACGUGUGGAAACCCAGUUCUGCCUGUUACUAAGGAAGAUCAGCAUAUCUGCUUGGUGAGUCCCAUGCAGAAGAAACAGGAUGAACAAGACAGACCCAGCAUCUGACCUAAGGAGAGAGACUUUUCCCAGUGGAAAUCCAUCAGAAACUAUGAAGCCACCAACCAAAAAGCAUACACAGGCUGGUCCGAG